AGCAGCCGCGGUAAUUCCAGCUCCAAUAGCGUAUAUUAAAGUUGUUGCAGUUAAAAAGCUCGUAGUUGAAUUUCGGGAUCAAGUUGUUGGUCGUGCCUUGGUACGUACUGGUGACAUUGAUUUCUCCCUUCUGAAGAACUGUAAUGUCAUUAAUUUGGUGUUGCAGGGACACAGGACUGUUACUUUGAAAAAAUUAGAGUGUUUAAAGCAGGCUAACGCUUGAAUACAUUAGCAUGGAAUAAUGAAAUAGGACGUUUGAUCCUAUUUUGUUGGUUUCUAGGAUUGACGUAAUGAUUAAUAGGGAUAGUUGGGGGCAUUAGUAUUCAAUUGUCAGAGGUGAAAUUCUUGGAUUUAUUGAAGACUAACUACUGCGAAAGCAUUUGCCAAGGAUGUUUUCAUUAAUCAAGAACGAAAGUUAGGGGAUCGAAGACGAUCAGAUACCGUCGUAGUCUUAACCAUAACUAUGCCGACUAGGGAUCGGAUGAUGUUAAUUUUUAAUGACUCAUUCGGCGCCUUAAC
rnacentral:rRNA from 1 species